rnacentral:rRNA from 1 species
UACGUAGGGUGCAAGCGUUUGUCCGGAAUUAUUGGGCGUAAAGAGCUCGUAGGCGGCUUGUCGCGUCGGCUGUGAAAACCUGGGGCUCAACCCCGGGCCUGCAGCCGAUACGGGCAAGCUAGAAUUCGGUAGGGGAGACUGGAAUUCCUGGUGUAGCGGUGAAAUGCGCAGAUAUCAGGAGGAACACCGGUGGCGAAGGCGGCAUCCUGGACCGGCAUUGACGCUGAACGGCGAAAGCUAGGGGAGCAAACGGG